GCGGGGGUCGCCAAGCCAGGUCAACGGUGCAAGGUUGAGGACCUCGCUGCGAGGUCACGAAUUCAAAUCUCACCCCCCGCACCA
rnacentral:tRNA from 1 species